rnacentral:tRNA from 1 species
UCCAGCAUGGCAUAGUGGUUUGAGCAUUGGACUAUGACUCUGGAGACCAGGGCUCGAUUCCUGCUGGGC